CAGAAGCCUGGAUUUCCUUGGAGUCUGGAGAGGACUGGCCUCUGGCUUCAGAGUUGCUAUAGGACAUCCCUGCUUGGCAUAGACUCGCCUAUUCUCCUGCCCUUGCUCUGCACACGGAGAUGGGAGGAGCCAGGAACAGUCUAAGUUGGAAGUGGGAACUGGAGGAUUCGGACACUACUGAUCGCAGGACUGCAGGGACCUUCCUCUUUCUCAUGAGCCUACCUCCAGCACAGGGGUGUAGACGGAGACCUCAGGCCGGCUAGUAAGGGAGCCUGAGACUCCACAGGAUGUUAUGCAGAAGUUUUGGGGAGCUGUGCCCCAAAGAUGAAGUUCUGUUCAAGAAGAUGAGGCUGUGGAACCACUUAGGACUGAAGCUAGGGGACACGUGAUGCUGUUGUCAUGUGGCAGAAGGACUGGAGCCAUAUGUUCCUUCUACUGAUACCUAGGAAUCUUGGGAGCUGGUUCUUGGCUAUUGUAAUGUCCUGUUGUAGCCUUUUCCAGUUGGCCGGUGAGUAGGUAAAGCUGCUGUCUUCUAAGUCUGACAACCCGAGUUCACUCACUAGAACCAUACAGUAGAACCUCCUGGAGGUUGUCCUCUGACAUCUAUAUGAGCACUUUAGUACAAGUAUGCUACUGUUCAAAUAAAUAAAUAAAUAAAUAAAUAAAUAAAUAAAUAAAUAAAU
rnacentral:lncRNA from 1 species